rnacentral:rRNA from 1 species
CCAAGACAGGUGGUGCAUGGUUGUCGUCAGCUCGUGUCGUGAGAUGUUGGGUUAAGUCCCGCAACGAGCGCAACCCCUAUCUUCAGUAGCCAGCGGUAAGGCCGGGCACUCUGGAGAGACUGCCAGGGAUAACCUGGAGGAAGGUGGGGAUGACGUCAAAUCAUCAUGCCCCUUAUGAGCAGGGCUACACACGUGCUACAAUGGCGUAAACAAAGGGAAGCGAACCUGUGAAGGGAAGCGAAGCUCAAAAAUAACGUCUCAGUUCGGAUUGUAGUCUGCAACUCGACUACAUGAAGCUGGAAUCGCUAGUAAUCGCGAAUCAGCAUGUCGCGGUGAAUACGUUCCCGGGCUUGUACACACCGCCCGUCACACCAUGGGAGUUGGUAACGCCCGAAGUCAGUGACCCAACCGAAAGGAGGGAGCUGCCGAAGGCGGGACUGAUAACUGGGGUGAAGUCGUAACAAGGUAGCCGUAUCGGAAGGUGCGGUUGGAUCACCUC